rnacentral:rRNA from 1 species
AACGAACGCUGGCGGCACGUUUUAAGCAUGCAAGUCGAAUGGCAGCAGGGGGCAACUCUGUGAGAAUGGCGAACGGGUGAGUAACACGUAGGUGAUCUGCCUUGAGGAUGGGGAUAGCCUGUGGAAACACAGGGUAAUACCGAAUGAGCUGACGAGACUUUGGUUUUGUUAGUAAAGGUGCUACGGCACCGCCUUGAGAGGAGCCUGCGGCUGAAUAGCUAGUUGGUGGGGUAAGAGCUUACCAAGGCGACGAUCAGUAGCCGGCCUGAGAGGGUGUACGGCCACACUGGAACUGAGACACGGUCCAGACUCCUACGGGAGGCAGCAGCUAAGAAUCUUCCGCAAUGGGCGAAAGCCUGACGGAGCGAUGCCGCGUGAUCGAUGAAGGUCGAGAGAUUGUAAAGAUCUUUUCUACAUGAGGAAUAAGUCUGGGAGGGAAUGCCCGGAUGAUGACGUUAGUGUAGGAAUAAGCCCCGGCUAAUUACGUGCCAGCCGCCGCUGUAA